GAUGAACGCUGGCGGCGUGCUUAACACAUGCCAGUCGAACGGUGAAGGCGGAGCUUGCUCUGCUGGAUCAGUGGCGAACGGGUGAGUAACACGUGAGCAAUCUGCCCCUGACUCUGGGAUAAGCGCUGGAAACGGCGUCUAAUACUGGAUACGAGCUGCGAAGGCAUCUUCAGCAGCUGGAAAGAAUUUCGGUCAGGGAUGAGCUCGCGGCCUAUCAGCUUGUUGGUGAGGUAAUGGCUCACCAAGGCGUCGACGGGUAGCCGGCCUGAGAGGGUGACCGGCCACACUGGGACUGAGACACGGCCCAGACUCCUACGGGAGGCAGCAGUGGGGAAUAUUGCACAAUGGGCUAAAGCCUGAUGCAGCAACGCCGCGUGAGGGACGACGGCCUUCGGGUUGUAAACCUCUUUUAGCAGGGAAGAAGCGAAAGUGACGGUACCUGCAGAAAAAGCGCCGGCUAACUACGUG
rnacentral:rRNA from 1 species